AUACUUAACUCUCAGAGAAAACUGCAGGAUCAGGAAGGAAAUUUUCCAGGGAGAAGUCUAUUCAUUACAUUGUUGUUAAUUCUGAUUGCUCAGAUUUACCUAAAUGGGAGAAACUCAAUUGCACAAUUUGUAGUAUUGGGAGGUAACCUAACAUAAGAAAAGAUUGCCUCCCU
rnacentral:snRNA from 1 species